rnacentral:tRNA from 1 species
GUUUCCGUAGUGUAGUGGUUAUCACACUCACCUCUUAUGCCACAGGUCCCCAAUAGGAAACUGGACGGAGGGG